UCAAAACAUAAAUAAAUUAAAUAACAAAAGGACAUACAAAAUCUUCUAAACAGACAGAAUAUCCAACUAAAAUGUUACAAUUAUUUCUGAAAACACUUCUAAGCAAUAGGGAAUAUUAAUAAAUAAUAUGAAAUAAUAGGAAUAAAUAAUUUUUGUUUGCUUGUAUAUAUUUUUGUUUGCUUGUAUAUAUACAAGCAAACAGGCAUCCAGUGGCUACACCAUGUUUCUUAUUAUUAUUUAUUAAUUUCCUCCAGACUUAAACUUAAAUACUGCAAUAACUAAAAAUAGUUUUAUUGAAAUAGGCUUAAUGUUAAAUCAUUUGAAGGAGGAUAGUUUACCUUGAAACUUUAAAGCAAACAUUAAAAAUAUUAUUUAACUAAAUAUGACUAAACGCAUUAAUUUUAUAAAAUAAAAAAACUCUAAUUAUAACAAUCGGUACAAUAGUAAUAUUUAGAUUUUUUUUCUAGUGAAAUAAGUUAAAAUUAUUCAGAAAUAACUGUUCAGCCGUUGUCAAGAAGAAAAUGCAUGAGGCUUGGCGUCCUCGCGCUCCUGCUGUUUGCUCGCAUGCGCGUAGAAGAGUGAUUUCAAAUACAAAGAAGUAACGGCUCCUUUCCUCAAAGAAAGAAACAACUGCGCAAGGUGAGUAAAGGCUCCGAAAUAAAUACACAGGUUUAUUAUGUGUAUACUAAUUCCUACGCUGACACAUUAAAUUGUUUGUUUGUUUUUUUAUUUGAUUUUUUUGUUUUAACCAUUAAUUUAAUAGCUGCGAUGAUUAAGAGUCUAACGCACUUUGUGGGACGAAAUGGAGACUACAAACACAAGAAAAUCCAGUAUGACUUCUCUAAAAAUCUCAAAGGAUUCACAGGGCAGCACUAUCAGUUAAUAAAGAAAUGUGGCUCUGUAGUGGACACCUGUGAGGCAGUGGACAGACAGCUGCUGAAGUCUGAUGCUGGCUGACAAUAAACAGACCUCUCUGGAUGUACCUCAUCUUUUGUAGAGUAAUUCUAACAUUGCCCUUCCUGUAACAUGAUGAUCCUGCUGUCCUGGACUGUAUGUGAUGAGGUAAGUAUGAGUUUGUCCAUGUGUGUAUACAUAUGUAGUGUACACACACAACUUAAACACACAUUGUGCACUUAAUUAGCCCACAACCAUUAAUCAAUGCACUAAUAUGACAAAAAUAAUUCCUGUGGUGUUCCUCAUUUUUAAGAUAAUUAAAAAAAUACCUGUGCUAAAUGAAUAAAUGUAAAUAUUUUGUUAUUUAAUUUUAAGUAAAUCACUCUUUUUUUCAAUGAACAGCCUACACAUAAUCUCAGAACAGCUGUGGUAAUAGCAGGAGACCCAUUUGGUGAGAGCAGCACUGCAGUCUUUCCUGAUGGUGAGGAGCUUCUUGCUGAUGAACCUGCCGACAUGAGUUCACCUUACUAUGAGUGCCUAUGUUCUUUUCAAGAUUAUACAGAAAAGCAAUUAAAAGUACACUAAAGCACACUGUUUUUCUGCUGUAUCUGUUGGCCAUUCAGGAGGAUAUCAUGGACCAUUUGCAUAAGACUGAUGAUGCGUUUCAGCGGCCAUCAGCAUCGUAAAUCCUCACCAUUGUUUUAUAUUUUGAUUUUUUUUUUUAAUUAUGUGCAUUAAUAACACUAUACUUUGUAUUAUCUCACAUUUGUAUCAAAUUACAAAAAAAAAAUAGCUAAUGCAAGGGUGUUUCAAAUCCAGUGUCUUUGGGAGGAAUGAUAAAUUUGACAUUGUUCUCUCUUCUGACUGCUGUUAUCAGUCUCUGUCAGAUUUUUUCCUUUGAUUGAAAGUUGUGAAAAUGCUAUCUUUAGAGUUUA